GUUCACUAACCCAAAUACCAUAAAUGAAAGGUCGGUUAGAAACAGAGUUAAAGAUACUGAGGACAACUUGCUACAAUCGACUACAUCAAAAUCAAAACAAAGGGAAAAUACUCUUUCCUUACAACUUCAACUUCCACUUUAUUUUGCUGGAGAUUAAGCUUGAACGGGGAGUAGUAAGUGUCUUAGACUCGAGACGAAAAGACCCACAGGACUAUGCGGACAUGACUGCAAUGCUCCAGAAGGUUGGAAAGAGUUCACCGGAAUAGCUCCGGGACUGCCGAGGGAGCUGCGAUUUACCCACCCAAAAUGCUUAUGGCAGGAAGGCGGGAAUAAUUUAUGUGGAUACUACGUUUGCGAGUUCAUCUACAAUGCGACCUCUCAGUGGGGCUAUUCUGAUGAACAAUAUGAAGUACGUAAACUAUAGUAUUCACAAUUUUAUUUUAUUAGCAUCAAUUGUGUUGAAUUACAUUCAUAUACAUUGGUAAACAAUAUGAAGCGGGACUAAAGGUAUAUUUUGGAAAUAUUGUUUUUCUGAUUUUUUUUUUAAAAUUGACUUUUUAUUUGAAUUUCUUUUCUAAUUUUCAAAUUUUCUGAAUUAUUUGAUAAUUUAAUAUCUAAUCACCCCUCAUCACUACUCACUGCUCAAUUAUGAAACCACUCAUUCGAAAUCGUCUAACUUCUUGACCGAUCACCCAUCCUCUCACUAUAGCCUAAGCACGAUUAACUUUCGAGUUCUAUUCUCGCUAGUU